rnacentral:rRNA from 1 species
UACGAAGGGGGCUAGCGUUGCUCGGAAUUACUGGGCGUAAAGGGAGCGUAGGCGGAUAGUUUAGUCAGAGGUGAAAGCCCAGGGCUCAACCUUGGAAUUGCCUUUGAUACUGGCUAUCUUGAGUACGGAAGAUGUAUGUGGAACUCCGAGUGUAGAGGUGAAAUUCGUAGAUAUUCGGAAGAACACCAGUGGCGAAGGCGACAUACUGGUCCGUUACUGACGCUGAGGCUCGAAAGCGUGGGGAGCAAACAGG